rnacentral:rRNA from 1 species
UACGUGGUACGGAUCUAGAAAGGUGAAGGACUUACUCUUCGGAGUGAGAGCGUACACAGGUGCUGCAUGGCUGUCGUCAGCUCGUGUCGUGAGAUGUUGGGUUAAGUCCCGCAACGAGCGCAACCCUGCAUUCAGUUGCCAUCGGUAAGGCCGGGCACUCUGGAUGGACUGCCGGCGACAAGCCGGAGGAAGGUGGGGACGACGUCAAGUCAUCAUGGCCCUUAUGUCCAGGGCGACACACGUGCUACAAUGGCCGGCACAACGGGAAGCGAAGGGGCGACCCUGAGCGGAUCCCACAAAAGCCGGUCUCAGUUCGGAUUGCAGUCUGCAACUCGACUGCAUGAAGUUGGAAUCGCUAGUAAUCGUGGAUCAGCCAAGCCGCGGUGAAUACGUUCCCGGGCCUU